rnacentral:rRNA from 1 species
AGAGUUUGAUCAUGGCUCAGAAUCAACGCUGGCGGCGUGCCUCAGACAUGCAAGUCGAACGAUUAAGACUCUCUUCGGAGAGUGUAUAAAGUGGCGCACGGGUGAGUAACACGUAGGUAAUGUACCGAAGGGUGGGGAAUAACUUAGGGAAACUUAAGCUAAUACCGCAUAAUGCAGCGGCUCGACAUCGAGACAGUUGUUGAAGGAGCAAUCCGCCUUUUGAGCAGCCUGCGGCAGAUUAGCUAGUUGGUAAGGUAAUGGCUUACCAAGGCUACGAUCUGUAACCGACCUGAGAGGGUGGUCGGUCACACUGACACUGAAUAACGGGUCAGACUCCUACGGGAGGCAGCAGUCGGGAAUUUUGGGCAAUGGGCGAAAGCCUGACCCAGCAACGCCGCGUGAAGGAUGAAGUAUUUCGGUAUGUAAACUUCGUAAGAAUAGGAAGAAUAAAUGACGGUACUAUUUGUAAGGUCCGGCUAACUACGUG